rnacentral:tRNA from 1 species
GGUAAGAUGGCCGAGCGGUCUAUGGCGCUAGCUUCAGGUGCUAGUAUCGAAAGAUGCGUGGGUUCAAAUCCCACUCUUAUCA